ACACCGUUGGUGAAGUGGUUAUCAUGCUUGCCUUCCAUAUACAGAAUGUCUUCGCGAGCAAGCGGCUCGGGUUCGAUUCCCGAACGGUGUA
rnacentral:tRNA from 1 species